rnacentral:lncRNA from 1 species
GACAAGUUGAGUUCAGAGAAAUCAAGGGACACUGAGGAAUGAGUACAGCAUCCUCCACUCCUCAAGGAGCAACCUAAGCUGAGCAGUGAGGACUGGGAGAGUAACUUACUCCACAGGGAACCUGUGCAACAGCCAGGGACACCCAAGGAUGGAUCAGCUGGAUGACCUGUCCUGACCCACGACCCUGAACCUCAGCCAGAUUGCAGCCUCUCAGAACCAAUGCUUGGACUCCAUGUUGGCUCCAAGCCCUCAACACUGCCAAAGUCUCCAGAGGAAACAGCUGGUGUCACAGCUACUGACUGUGUCCUGGCCAGCUGGAGAAAUAAAGAG